UGGGGGAUAUUGCACAAUGGGCGAAAGCCUGAUGCAGCGACGCCGCGUGGGGGAUGAAGGCUUUCGGGUUGUAAACCUCUUUCGCUAUCGAACAAGGCCCGCUUAGGGUGGGUUGAGGGUAGGUGGAGAAGAAGCGCCGGCUAACUACGUGCCAGCAGCCGCGGUAAUACGUAGGGCGCGAGCGUUGUCCGGAAUUAUUGGGCGUAAAGGGCUUGUAGGCGGCUUGUUGCGCCUGCUGUGAAAACGCGGGGCUUAACUUCGAGCGUGCAGUGGGUACGGGCAGGCUUGAGUGUGGUAGGGGUGACUGGAAUUCCAGGUGUAGCGGUGGAAUGCGCAGAUAUCUGGUGGAACACCGAUGGCGAAGGCAGGUCACUGGGCCAUUACUGACGCUGAGGAGCGAAAGCAUGGGUAGCGAACAGG
rnacentral:rRNA from 1 species